UACAGGUGUAAAUGCAAACUGCUUCCAAC
rnacentral:piRNA from 1 species